rnacentral:sRNA from 1 species
UUUCCCACAACUGCAGCGCAGGAAGCGCUCAGGAUCAGGGAAGGUCGACCAUUAGCACGGAUGCUGCAGACAGGAAGUCAUAAUGGUCUUGGAAAAAACCCGCUUCGGCGGGUUUUUUU